GAAGCUACCUGGUUGAACCCGCCAGUAAUCAUAUGCU
rnacentral:rRNA from 1 species